UCAUCCCGAGCAGCAGGGCGGUGGAUAUUUUUGACACAAAGACCUUUUUCAUGCCUACUAUAGGAAUUUCUAAAGUUACAUCCUAGUAAUACACAUCUUCAUAGUGGGGUUAGUUUUACUCAGUGUACAUCUAACCAUAACGUUACUAUGUUCAGUGGUUUUUCAUCUUGUUAACAAUGCGCCUGCCAAAUGCUUUUGAUGGGCACUUACACAUUAGAUUGAUGACUAGGUAAAUGGAUGGAACAAAGACUUAAACACAUCACUCCCAUAUCCAGAUUCAGGUCGAGAGAAGUUAUCACCCUUUGAGGAUUUUCAACUUCGAGAGAAGGACAACUAUGACCCACAAGUCAGACUUCAAGGCGCGCCAUUCCACAGAGACUGUUCUCCUUGGUCUCUCAGAGCAACUCCACACUGCUAGAGCCACCUCUCUCUUCUCUGUCCUCAUCCUUCUGGAUCCAGGUAAAAACAUUGGUGCUCACGUACCAUGCUGUGAAUGAUUCGAGUCCAGUCUACAUCCAGGACAUGGUCAAACCCUACAUCCCAACCCGCACACUACACUUCAUCCAUUCACAGCAUGGUACGUCAAUACCAAUGUUUUGAACUGGAUGCGGGCAGCCACUGGUAACCAAUGAAGAGAACGGAGCGCAGAUGGUGGAAUGAACUCUCUGUUGAAAUCAGAACAGCAGAGAGCCUUUACACCUACCGCAAAAUAAAGACACACCUCUUCAGACUAUACCUCAACUAAAACACUCCCAAAUUGUAGCAAAAUACUUAUAAUGGGUCUUAUCUAUAACAAGUUGUAAAUCGGAUUAUUUGAUAUUUUUUUGUUGUUCUUCUGAGUUUGUAUUUCUAUGGUUGAAAUGCACGUAUUGUAAGUUGCUUUAGAUCAAAGCUAAAUGACAUGUAAUGUAAAGGAACUCAGGACAUAUUUUACCACUGUAUGAUAAAUAGGUAUAAAAGAUAAUAAGGCAACAAAAUAUUUCUUUAUAUGUUAAAAUCUGGAAACCAACUACUCUUUCCCAUAACUGAGGUAAAGCUUGUCAGGAAUUCAGCUUCCUGAACCGGGUUUCUGUUACAUUUCCAUUCUAACCUGAAGUUGUUUUUUCUGAGUUUCCCCAAACACACCCUGACUGAUUAUUCAACCAUCGACACCUGCUGCCGCCUGCACACCCGGUCCUGAUUACCAUCCCCUUCACCAUUUAAGCCGUGACCAGACUACCAGUCCCUGCCGGAUCGUAGCGUACCACGUACGGUUUUUGGCUCCUGCAAACUAGAUUUCUCGCGGUUAGUGAGGAGGCUACUCCGGAGACCAUUCUGCCACAGAAGCUCAUUGUGGGUGUCAUCACCUGGAGGAUCGAGGACGAGGUGAUGACUGCCCUGCGGACUCAGCCUGGGCCUGGAAAUGGUCCGCCAGGUCGGCUGUUUGUACCCGACUCUGUCCGUUCUGCUGUGCUUCAAUGGGCCCACGCCAGCAAGCUGGCUUGUCACCCUGGAGUGGCUAGGACCAUGGCCUUACUGCGCAGACGCUUUUGAUGGCCGGCCAUGGGAGACCAGACUCGGAGUUUCGUUGCUGCAUGCCCGGUGUGCGCUCAAAAUAAGGGUACCAACCGACCCAGCUCUGGACUCCUCCAUCCUCUGCCCAUCCCUCGGCGACCAUGGUUGCAUCUGGCUCUGGAUUUCGUGUCCGGGCUGCUCUUAUCUGAGGGAAACACCGUUAUCCUGACGGUAGUGGACAGAUUCAGCAAGUUCGCUCACUUUCUGCCCCUUUCCAAGCUGCCGACUGCCACUAAGACCGCCAACAUCCUGGUCAAGGAAGUGUUUAGGAAGCACGGUCUACCUAGUGACAUUGUUUCGGGCCGUGGCCCACAGUUCACCUCAGCCGUUUGGAAGGCCUUCUGCCGAGCCAUUGGAGCUACUGUCAGUCUCGCAUCCGGAUUCCAUCCCCAGUCUAAUGGUCAAGCCGAGAGGGCCAACCAGAAGAUGGAGUCUACACUUCGCUGCCUCGUCUCCUCUGACCCUACCACCUGGUCCUCUCAGCUACCAUGGGCUGAGUACGCCCUUAACACUCUCCCGACUACCGAGUCAGAGUCCCUGCCCCUGCCUACGCGGUUGGGGAUAAGGUCUGGUUGGCCACCCGGAAUCUGCCCCUGUGGACUGAAUCAAAGAAAUUGUCCUCCAAGUUUACUGGUCCGUUUGUGGUGGAGCGGAUCAUAAACCCAGCUGUGGUCCGUCUGAAAUUGCCCAAGACCCUCAGAGUCCAUCCUGCCUUCCGCGUCUCCUGCUUGAAGCCUGUUCUCCUCAGCCCCCUGUUGCCCCCUCCUC